rnacentral:misc_RNA from 1 species
GAUGAAGAACGCAGCGAAAUGCGAUAAGUAAUGUGAAUUGCAGAAUUCAGUGAAUCAUCGAAUCUUUGAACGCACAUUGCGCCCGCCAGUAUUCUGGCGGGCAUGCCUGUUCGAGCGUCAUUUCAACCAUCAAGCCCCCCGGCUUGUGUUGGGGACCUGUGGCUGCCGCAGGCCCUGAAAAGCAGUGGCGGGCUCGCUGUCACACCGAGCGUAGUAGAUCUCAUCUCGCUCAGGGCGUGCUGCGGGUUCCGGCCGUUAAACCACCUUCAUAACCCAAGGUUGACCUCGGAUCAGGUAGGAAGACCCGCUGAACUUAAGCAUAUCAAUAAGCGGAGGA